GUGGAGUCACGGCUCCAGAGUUCGGCUGGUUGAUCUUCUCACUGGACUGGGGAGGUGCCCUGAGAGGUCUGCUGGCCCAGCGGCAGGGUGGCAUUGGUCCACGGCACUGUUGCUGCUGCAGGCUGUGGUUAAAAGGAGCAGCAGCCAUGCACUCUGCUGUGGUUCUGUCACAAACACACUGGAGCUUGUCACACAGCGAGACGCCCUGACCUGAAGGUCACAACAGAGCGCACAGCUGGUUACAACAAGCUGCAAGCACCCACGUUUUCUUCAUGGCCGAGGGAGCGGUGCAGAGCUUUUAGGACAUACAUAUUGAUUGGGAGAAACGGACUAACACCGACAUGCCUCGUAAGGAGAGGAGGCGGAAGCAGUGACAGAAAGAGCUACAUGAGGCAGCUAAAGGCAGUGGGUCCCUCACCAGCUGGAUAAAAAAAGAGUACAGUCUGACAUCAACACAGCCUUGCCCUCCAGCAUCAUCAGCAGCAGCAAGAGGAGCAACCCUGCAACAGCUACAUUGUACCCCAUCAUCAGUUAAAAUAGGACAGCAAUAGAUCAGGAGGUGGAGCAGGUUGUCCAGUAAUCGGAAGGUUGCAGGUUAGAUCCUGACUUUAAUCAGAGAUUGAUGCUGUUGUGUCCUUGGGCAAGACACUUAACCUGUUUGCCUGCUGGUGGUGGUCGGAGGGAUGGGUGGCGCCUGUGCUCAGCAGCUUCACCUCUGUCAGUACGCUCCAGAGCAGCUAUGGCUACAUCAUGGCUCAUCACCAUCAGUGUGUUAAUGUGUGUGUGUGAAUGACUGUGUUGUAAUGUGCCUUGGGGGGUUGUAGAACCCUAAGAAGGCAUUAUACAAAUACAGACCAUUUACCAAAACAAGUUACUUUUGCUUUACAUUGUCCUUAUGGUGUACAUAAUGAUUCGCUUCCAUUUAGAAUUUCUAAUAAAUAUGAUUUGUUAUUCA